rnacentral:rRNA from 1 species
AUGAUCAUCUUUCAUUCUUCGACCAUUAACUUCAUGAUAUUCCUAUGCAUGGGUCUCCGUCAAGUUAAUUCACACACCAUGAAAGAGCAAUUGAAAGCAAGCAGGGUUAAGAUCUUGGCUGCCUUGCUGGUCUUCUCCAUGCUUACUCAAGGCAUGGCGGUUCGCGUCAAGGGGGUGGUGAGGAAUGGCAUCACCGAUGAGGCUGUCAGCGCAAAAACCACCCUCGGUGCAGGCAGCAGCACAGCCGUCAACAACCACCAUGCAAUCCCACGGGACCAGUAUAGUAGCCAUGGAGGAGAGGAUGGAUCAGGUGGCAGUGGUGGUGAUACUACAAAGAACUAG